AAAGUGGUGAAGAUGAUGUUGUCCUUGGUGUUCUCAGUAGCUGGUCACAGCCACUCUUACCGAGUUUAACUCUGUAUGUGGUCUGACCAGUGUAAUCCCACUACACUCUCCACUGAUGUGUAUUCUAUAGUUCUGGCUAUAUAAUCCAGCUUUUCCAUUUACUUUUUUAACAAAUAAAAAUUGGCAAAUUGCUCUGAGGUGUGUUGAUCAACCACCCUGACUUAUUGAAUUUCCAAAGAAGGACUGAAGGAGAAAGCAUACUACGCUUUACUUUUUUACUGAUUCCUCAGGACAAAAACAAUGGUUUGCAACCCUAUCAGGACAGGACUCCCAGCUCACAGUGACUCAAGGAUUAAAUUAAAGCACUUCAACUUUCGAGUGAUAGAAAGCAAGUUUGGAAGGUCCUGGACCAUGCUACAUUUGAUACAGGCAAAAUUCCUUGACAUGAAAGUCCAGCUGAUCUUAACAGAAGGAUUUAAUAAAACUUUGCAGGUUGUUCUCUUGCUCCAUAGUCAGCCGAAUGGAACACCAAUGGCAAGAUGGUCUGGGAUCCUUGGGGGUGUCCUUUGGCAAUUGGAAGGAAGGAGAGACUCUACACACUAGGAAGACCAUCAGCUGGAGCUGGCAGAAAGUCAACAAUUGGAUCCAGCGGGAGGUUGAAUGCUUCUGAUGAUUAAUGACUGCAACUGGAUAGAUGGGAUUAGAGCAAGAUAAGCUCAUCCCUCCUUGUUUGACAGCAAACUUUCAGUGCUUUUUCUAUGGUCAACUGUCUCAGUGACUGCUGAUGGUUGAGAAGAUUGAGGAGUGAUGUAGGAUAUAAUUUGUAUCUUUGCUAUUGGUGCGGUGGAUAUGUGAUUGGAAUGGUUCAAACCUGGAAUUGUAAGAAAGGUGGGUAUAGACAACCCAUUCAGGGACUUUGGAAACGUGAAGUCAGGGAAGGGGCUUCAGCAUUCCUAAAUAUUAAACGUAUUUUGACCUACAUAUCUUCUGGUUGGAGCUCUUACAUGGAUGUAUUCUGAGACAAGUGGAAUUUCUCCUUCAUUUUACUGUUCCCUUGCUGCUUCUGGACACAACUUUGACAUGUUUAUAGGAGGGGAUAAGUUCAAAGAGCAUGUAUGGACAUUGAUAUUUACAAUCAUAAAUGGACUUUAAUGGGCUCCAAAAAAGCCUAUUUUCUGCCAUUUACCCUUCCAUUAUAACUUCCAUUGAAACAUUUCAAAGUCACCUAACUCUAUAUGUCACCAAUGAAAUAUGCCAGACAGUGCCACAAACAGCUGCAAUUUAGCAAGGGAAGUAACUUGAUCA